rnacentral:rRNA from 1 species
UGCAUAAUCCAAUAAGCGGAGGAAAAGAAACCAACAGGGAUUGCCCUAGUAACGGCGAGUGAACAGGCAAGAGCUCAGAUUUGAAAGGCACUUUUGUGCCGUUGUAUUCUGAAGUUAGGGUCCUGAGAAACGAUGCUUAAGUCUUCUGGAAAGGAGCGCCAUGGAGGGUGAUAGCCCCGUCUAGCAUUGACCUCAUAUAGGAUCUUAACAUGGAGUCGAGUUGUUUGGGAAUGCAGCUCAAAUGGGUGGUAUGCUCCAUCUAAAGCUAAAUAUCUGCGAGAGACCGAUAGUAAACAAGUACUGUGAGGGAAAGAUGAAAAGAACUUUGAAAAGAGAGUGAAAAAGUACGUGAAAUUGUUGAAAUGGAAGGGUAGGCCGCUAACCAUGUAGAGCCGUGUUUGGGGGGAAGAUAAAUGCUGUAGAAUGUAGCUCCUCGGAGUAUUAUAGAUGCAGUUCAUAUUCCCACCCGAGCGCGAGGAUCUCAGGUUCUACUAAAUGGUGGUCUACCACCCGUCUUGAACCAACGGAACCA